rnacentral:tRNA from 1 species
GCUCGGGUGGCGAAACCGGUAGACGCGAGGGACUUAAAAUCCCUUGGGAUAAGAUCCCAUGCGGGUUCGAUCCCCGCCCCGAGCA